CGAUGGAGCCCAAGGAUGCAAUGUAUCCCUGCUCUGCACGCACGUGACUUCUGCUUUAUCCAGGGGAUGAAGCUGAAAAUACCAAGGUGCGGGCCAGAGGCCUGUCCAGAGUCCUGGAGGCUCCCUGAUGGGCCAAGUGGUAACCCUUUAACUCCUCUCAUGAUGAAGCCCCGGGGGAACACGCAGUGAGGAGUCAGCCGCCGGCAACCCAGAAGAGGGCCUUCACCAGAACCUGCCCAUGCUGGCACCCUGAU